GAGAGAGAGAGAGAGCACUGCGCAGCCUCGGUUAGCAGAUAUCCAAAGAGGCACCACUACCACCACCACCACCACCACAUCCUCACAGACGUACAUUUUUUUUCUGUCGAGUGAGAAGGAAAAAGGGAGGAAAAUAUGAACGAACAGAGGCUCUAUUGAAAAGAGCGGUUGAAAGGUGGUCUUCAGGACAGCAUGCGGGUCGACGAUGACUGAAAAAUCCCAGUUUGAGGCGGCGGGUAGGACGCGAACCCGCCUCCUCAUGGACGCCGCACCAGAACGCUAACAACUCAGCCACCGCCUCCGCGACAACAACAGGUGUUAAUGUAUGUCUAGGCCUUUAUAAAUCCCUGAGCCGAGCAGCAGCCUGUCACCGCGCCUGUCACCCACACUCGCUGCCUUUGUAACGCGACAGUUUGGAGCAGAUGAAGAAAAGAGUUUAUUCCCUGUUAA